UCCACUAUAAAUAAGCUCUUAACGUUACUCUUCACUUGGCUUGCAGAGACAAACCUACUAGAACAUUCCUCUAGUCUUCUUCUUCUUCAAAUCUCUCUCUCUCUCUCUCUCUCUCUCUCUAGAUAUGGUGACGAACUCCACAAUCAAAUUUCUAUGUAGCUACGGCGGGAAGAUUCUACCUCGUUAUCCCGACGGCAAACUCCGUUACAACGGCGGUCACACCCGCGUCCUCGCCGUCCCCCGCUCCGUCUCAUUUUCUGAAUUAGCAUCGAAGAUGGCGGAGAUGUGCAGAUCCACCGUCACAAUCCGGUGCCAGCUUCCAACGGAAGAUCUCGACGCGCUCGUUUCCGUUACUUCCGACGAGGAUCUAGCGAAUCUGAUCGAAGAGUACGAUCUCGUCUCCUCCUCGUCGCCGAUGAAGAUCAGAGUCUUCUUAAAUCCGCCGAAAUCGACGAUCGCGCCUCCGCGAUUAGCGUUACCGUCGUCGAAUACGUCAUCAUCUUCCUCCACUUCAUCGAGUCCUAGAUCUCCGGCGAUGUCGAAACCGCCGCUACCUCCGUCGCCGCCGAGGUUAACGACGGCGAAGAAUCAGUGUUACGGUUGUUACGUUCACCGAAAUUCGAGGAAUGUCUACCUCGUUCACAACGGGAACCACUGGCAAUAACCCCAAGCCCUUCAAAACUUAUAAAAAAAAUAAAGAAAAAAGUUUUCGUUAGAAAAAUGUAAAAGAGAGAUAUAAAAGAAAGUGUAAUUUUAUACAUUCUUCUAAUCAAAAGGCGUAAUCAGAUUUUUUCGGUUAUGACGAAAUUGGGGGAUAAACAUGGAGAAAUUGAGCUGAAAGACAAAAAGAUAACAAGAAAAUAUUAUGAAUGUUGGGGAUAAAAAAGAAGAGGUGAUGAUAAAAAUCGAUUUAAAUUAUAAUGGGUCCCGUAAUACAGCUGGUGUGGAGAAGUACAGAAGUGUUCUUUAAGGAACGGAAAAUUAUAAUAGUUGAGUGGGGGAUGAUCAGACACCAAGUACGAUUUUAUAUCCAAAAACAAGAUUGAGAUCUGGUCUUUGGAUGGAGUGUAAUAAUGCCAUAAUAGGGACGUGAAAUUUUUUUGUUGAACUUUUAGAUAUUUCAAGCGGAAGCAAAAUGAUAUUUAAAUAAGGUGAGUUAACGUCGUAUUAUUUUUGGGA